rnacentral:rRNA from 1 species
UCAGAUUGCAGGCUGAAACUCGCCUGUAUGAAGUCGGAAUUGCUAGUAAUCGCGGAUCAGCAUGCCGCGGUGAAUACGUUCCCGGGCCUUGUACACACCGCCCGUCACACCAUGAGAGUUGGCAACACCCGAAGUCAGUAGCCUAACCGCAAGGGGGGCGCUGCCGAAGGUGGGGUUGAUGAUUGGGGUGAAGUCGUAACAAGGUACC